GGCUGGUUAGCUUAGUUGGUAAAGCACUUGUCUGGUGUAUAAAGGCCGUGAGUUCAAAUCUCUCCCGAGCUG
rnacentral:tRNA from 1 species